AUUUAUAUAGUUUAAUGAAAACCUUACAUUUUCAUUGUAAAAAUAAAAUUAUUUAAUAUUUUUAUAAAUU
rnacentral:tRNA from 1 species